UCCCAGGAGGCAAAGGGCAGAGUCCUGGAGAUCCGUCAGCAGGGGAACAAAAUGCUACAUUCUCACUGGGUCUCCAUCCACAGCAGAGAAAUGGGGCCCAUGCCUAGUGGGGCAGCCUCGUUGGUGUGGACUGAGGGGGAUACGGGAGGGGGAAGGCAGGAGGUUACUCAACUUCUGAGAGCAAGGGCCCUUCGACUCGAGCAGAUGAGGUCUGCCCGCUGCGGAGAGAGGCUGUGUGGGGCACGUGCCCCAGGGCCCACUAUCUCCAGGGGGCACUGAGCACCAAGGGGCCAGCACCAGUUAAAAAACCUCUGCCCAGAGUGGGCAAACAGCCUGGGAAGCAGCAAAACCAUGGCAUUCAAAGCAAACGAGGAAGUCAGUCACAUCCAUGAGGGAAGGCUCUGGGAAGCUGCUGGAGUUGCAGCCCCAUCCAAUCCUAAAUACCCACUGCCACCCCUGGUGCCUGGGAAUCCAGAGGGCCCUAAAUAGGGAACAAACUGCCUGAAGGCCCUUGGAGGGAUGGAGGGAGAUUCAAACCUCCUCCCUCCUAUCCUCCUGAGAACUGGGAUCCUACCCUGUCCAGCCCUGACUCAAGGAAGUUCCAGGACAGCCCUUCUAACAAAGAAUUUGCAGCAAACAUCAGACACCCACACAUGCCCUAAGCCACCCCAUUCCCAUUUCUUCUUACUCUUCCCCCAAUUAAAAAAAUAAACAACUCCCCCUAAAGGCAGCAAAUCUCAUGAAACUAAAGGCAUAGAAAUGGCUUUCCUACUUCUCACUUCCCAGAAAGUAGCCACAGUGAAGGGCCAGACCCUUCCCUGACAGCUGGCAGGAGCACCAAGUCUGUCUGGGUCCCUUUCUCACAUAUAUGUACACACAUACACACAUACACAAAACACAUAUUCCAGUGCAUUCAACAGAAUGGGGCCGGGGGAAGGGUUCUGGUGGCUGCAACAGGCCAGUGGGGUUGCACUGUGUCCUCCCAGUGCUUAGAAGCCACAGUUGUCUGCUCUGAACACAAACAGACGCCUCUAGGGGACUGGUUUGUAGGUCAUUGGGAGGUGAUUUUUUUCCACUUUGGAUUGAGCAAGACUAGGAGGCUGCAGAGAGGUCAACUCCCUAGAGACCCAAGAGUGGGAGGCUCACACAGACACUUAUUUCUGCUUCUCGGAUCCAGGGGGGAGGAAGGGGAGGGUAUGUUUCAGACACCCCCUCCCCCUUUCUUUUCAGAUCCAACCAACUCAUCUGAGAAGGGGAGUCCCAGAGUUUGGCUGCUAUAGGAACCAUCCCACUCCCACUUCUGAAUGAUCUAUUCCAGCAGCUCUAGACCCCCUAACUCUGGGACACAGGCUCCCCAGAGCCGGGGGACUGCCCUGCUAUAGAAAGGGGGACUUGUUUCUGUCCCCCCCCUCCGAAAAAAUUCUAAGAUGAAUAAUAUGGCUUUGCCCUUCACUCAGAGCCCUACUCCGGCCUUCAGCUGGUUACAGGUCACUUCUCUGCCUUGCUCCCCUUCUACCUCCCCGCCCCAAGAGGCAGCCAGGCUACUGGGGGAAGGGAGUGUCUCAGGGGCCUGACCUAGGAACCAUUCCAGCCUUUUCACACAGCAGGAGGUGGGAAAAGCAAGGAACAGAAUCCUAAAUGACACAAAAUCAGCCCUUUCCACCACCACUACCACCCUCCCCAAACCCCUCCAUUUGGUUUUAAAAGUUUACUCAGGCUUGUUUGAGGACUCAGUUCUUGACCUCACAUCAGCUAGCAAUUUGUGGGGGGGAGAGAAAGAGAGGUUGUAGAGAAGGGUGGGCUGGGUAGGGUGAAUUCAGGGAAUCAGUAGGUGAAGAGUUGGGAUGGGGGUGGGAGAGCCUGCUAUGGCAUGAGCAGCCCUGCUCCCGUCACCAGGACUCUAUGGCUCAGCUUGAGAGAGAAACCACAAGAAACCAAGCCCUGAUCCCACACAUAUGGGAUAGAGUGAAGGAGCGGAAAGCUUCUGCAAGACAGAAAAGUAAGGAUUUUAAAGCCUUCAAAACCCAGUUUUAAGGCCUCGGGUAGAAAUGAGGCAUAAGGACAAACCUACCCCCGCUUUUCCCUACCCUCCAGCAUGGAAGAUUGGGGGUAGGCUGGUUAAUUUAGAUUGUCUGUAACACUAUAGUCAGAGCACUCGGCAUUAUGGCCUUGAUACACAGAAGGAAGAAGACGCACAUCAUCCAUGACACACCUGGAAAAGGAUGCCAGAAUCCUAAUGGAAACAUUCAAAGGAAGAGUAGUGUUGGUCAAGAGAUGGGCAGGUAGAAGGAAUGCUUCCAGAAGUCCAUUUGUGAGACACUUAUUUAUAAGCCCUGCAUCCCGGUCCCCUGACUCACUUCCCUAGGAGAUUUCUCUUUGUUCAUCACAAGCUAACUUUCUUAGCAGAAAAAAUACAGUGUGUACCCUGAGAUGAGAUUCAGGCUAUGGUAGG
rnacentral:lncRNA from 1 species